GAUGAACAAGAGACAAAGAGCAAGCUUGCUGGAACUGAUGCAAUGAAGAUACAAAAUUUCUAUUACCAAUACUGUAGAAAAUAUCUUCACAAAGGUUCAGUUUCUCAACUUUGUUCUUUGCCCACAAUAAGUGAAAUCCAUCAUGAUUGAUCUUGGGACAAGUGGGUGGAUGGAGUUGGUCUUACUAUGGAGGGUGCUGGCCGCGGGGGAGCGAUGUUGCUUAGCUUUGACUUUGCAACGACACGCUGAUAUGUUUUUAGAGCUAUGGAUCAAUUUGUUGGCUUUGAAGGACAAGAUCAGAUUAUUGGCUGAUAACUUGGCUUUGAAUUUGGAUGCCAGACUGCAUGAUCUUCAUCCAGCAUCUUGGCAGAGUGGUGGUUUGCGAUGAGCAAAUCUGAUUCUAAAGACAGCCAAUUAGGAAGGCUACAAUCCAGUGUGGCAUCCUAGAUUCUGAAGGAGAGGUUGCACACGCUGAAUGCGGCUGUGAUGGUGAUGUCUAGGGCUAGCGUGCUGAAGAAUGGGCAAAUGAGUAAAAAUAAGCAUGGUAGAGAGGGAAGCUGUUUUGGAGGAGCUGAAGACUGUAGAGCUACACCAUAAGAAACUCAAGUUGCAGAGAAGCGAGACAACAAUGCUACAAGAGGAAGAGAUGGUAGGCUAUGACCUAUGAUGGAGGCAAGUCAGCGACAUGCAUGGAGGAAGAGGUAAUUUGGGUUGUUACUUGGUUCACAUACGUUGUAUAUGCAUGCCUUGUUCAUUUCCCUAGC